rnacentral:rRNA from 1 species
GAUGAACGCUAGCUACAGGCUUAACACAUGCAAGUCGCGGGGCAGCAUGGGGGUUGCUUGCAAUCCCCGAUGGCGACCGGCGCACGGGUGAGUAACGCGUAUCCAACCUGCCCUUCACCACGGGAUAACCCGGCGAAAGUCGGACUAAUACCGUAUGUUGUCCAUUGACGGCAUCCGAUUUGGACGAAAGGUUUGGCGGUGAAGGAUGGGGAUGCGUCCGAUUAGCUGGACGGCGGGGUGACGGCCCACCGUGGCGACGAUCGGUAGGGGUUCUGAGAGGAAGGUCCCCCACACUGGAACUGAGACACGGUCCAGACUCCUACGGGAGGCAGCAGUGAGGAAUAUGGGUCAAUGGGCGUAAGCCUGAACCAGCCAAGUAGCGUGCAGGAUGACGGCCCUAUGGGUUGUAAACUGCUUUUAUGCGGGGAUAAAGUGGCCCACGUGUGGGUUUUUGCAGGUACCGCAUGAAUAAGGACCGGCUAAUUCCGU